rnacentral:rRNA from 1 species
AUUGAACGCUGGCGGCAUGCCUAACACAUGCAAGUCGAGCGGAUGAAGGGAGCUUUCUCCUGGCUUCCGCGGCGGACGGGUGGGUAAUGCCCAGGUAUCUGCCUGGUAGUGGGGGCUGACGUCCGUAAACGGGCCCUAAUCCCGCAUCCGUCCUGAUGGAGAAAGGGAGGGAUCUUCGGACAUCGCGCUAUCAGCUGAGCCUAGGCCGUAUUAGCUAGUUGGUUUGGUAAAGGCUUACCAAGGCGACGAUGCGUAGCUGGCCUGAGAGGGUGAUCAGCCACACUGGAACUGAGACACGGUCCAGACUCCUACGGGAGGCAGCAGUAGGGAAUCUUCCGCAAUGGGCGAAAGCCUGACGGAGCAACGCCGCGUGAGUGAUGAAGGUCUUCGGAUCGUAAAACUCUGUUAGUAGGGAAGAACAAAUGUGUAAGUAACUAUGCACGUCUUGACGGUACCUAAUGAGAAAGCCACGGCUAACUACGUG